UUAAGCGACUAAGCGUACACGGUGGAUGCCCUGGCAGUCAGAGGCGAUGAAGGACGUGCUAAUCUGCGAUAAGCGUCGGUAAGGUGAUAUGAACCGUUAUAACCGGCGAUUUCCGAAUGGGGAAACCCAGUGUGAUUCGUCACACUAUCAUUAACUGAAUCCAUAGGUUAAUGAGGCGAACCGGGGGAACUGAAACAUCUAAGUACCCCGAGGAAAAGAAAUCAACCGAGAUUCCCCCAGUAGCGGCGAGCGAACGGGGAGCAGCCCAGAGCCUGAAUCAGUGUGUGUGUUAGUGGAAGCGUCUGGAAAGGCGCGCGAUACAGGGUGACAGCCCCGUACACAAAAAUGCACAUGCUGUGAGCUCGAUGAGUAGGGCGGGACACGUGGUAUCCUGUCUGAAUAUGGGGGGACCAUCCUCCAAGGCUAAAUACUCCUGACUGACCGAUAGUGAACCAGUACCGUGAGGGAAAGGCGAAAAGAACCCCGGCGAGGGGAGUGAAAAAGAACCUGAAACCGUGUACGUACAAGCAGUGGGAGCACAGAGCAAUCUGUGUGACUGCGUACCUUUUGUAUAAUGGGUCAGCGACUUAUAUUCUGUAGCAAGGUUAACCGAAUAGGGGAGCCGAAGGGAAACCGAGUCUUAACUGGGCGUUAAGUUGCAGGGUAUAGACCCGAAACCCGGUGAUCUAGCCAUGGGCAGGUUGAAGGUUGGGUAACACUAACUGGAGGACCGAACCGACUAAUGUUGAAAAAUUAGCGGAUGACUUGUGGCUGGGGGUGAAAGGCCAAUCAAACCGGGAGAUAGCUGGUUCUCCCCGAAAGCUAUUUAGGUAGCGCCUCGUGAAUUCAUCUCCGGGGUAGAGCACUGUUUCGGCAAGGGGGUCAUCCCGACUUACCAACCCGAUGCAAACUGCGAAUACCGGAGAAUGUUAUCACGGGAGACACACGGCGGGUGCUAACGUCCGUCGUGAAGAGGGAAACAACCCAGACCGCCAGCUAAGGUCCCAAAGUCAUGGUUAAGUGGGAAACGAUGUGGGAAGGCCCAGACAGCCAGGAUGUUGGCUUAGAAGCAGCCAUCAUUUAAAGAAAGCGUAAUAGCUCACUGGUCGAGUCGGCCUGCGCGGAAGAUGUAACGGGGCUAAACCAUGCACCGAAGCUGCGGCAGCGACACUAUGUGUUGUUGGGUAGGGGAGCGUUCUGUAAGCCUGUGAAGGUGUACUGUGAGGUAUGCUGGAGGUAUCAGAAGUGCGAAUGCUGACAUAAGUAACGAUAAAGCGGGUGAAAAGCCCGCUCGCCGGAAGACCAAGGGUUCCUGUCCAACGUUAAUCGGGGCAGGGUGAGUCGACCCCUAAGGCGAGGCCGAAAGGCGUAGUCGAUGGGAAACAGGUUAAUAUUCCUGUACUUGGUGUUACUGCGAAGGGGGGACGGAGAAGGCUAUGUUGGCCGGGCGACGGUUGUCCCGGUUUAAGCGUGUAGGCUGGUUUUCCAGGCAAAUCCGGAAAAUCAAGGCUGAGGCGUGAUGACGAGGCACUACGGUGCUGAAGCAACAAAUGCCCUGCUUCCAGGAAAAGCCUCUAAGCAUCAGGUAACAUCAAAUCGUACCCCAAACCGACACAGGUGGUCAGGUAGAGAAUACCAAGGCGCUUGAGAGAACUCGGGUGAAGGAACUAGGCAAAAUGGUGCCGUAACUUCGGGAGAAGGCACGCUGAUAUGUAGGUGAAGUCCCUCGCGGAUGGAGCUGAAAUCAGUCGAAGAUACCAGCUGGCUGCAACUGUUUAUUAAAAACACAGCACUGUGCAAACACGAAAGUGGACGUAUACGGUGUGACGCCUGCCCGGUGCCGGAAGGUUAAUUGAUGGGGUCAGCGCAAGCGAAGCUCUUGAUCGAAGCCCCGGUAAACGGCGGCCGUAACUAUAACGGUCCUAAGGUAGCGAAAUUCCUUGUCGGGUAAGUUCCGACCUGCACGAAUGGCGUAAUGAUGGCCAGGCUGUCUCCACCCGAGACUCAGUGAAAUUGAACUCGCUGUGAAGAUGCAGUGUACCCGCGGCAAGACGGAAAGACCCCGUGAACCUUUACUAUAGCUUGACACUGAACAUUGAGCCUUGAUGUGUAGGAUAGGUGGGAGGCUUUGAAGUGUGGACGCCAGUCUGCAUGGAGCCGACCUUGAAAUACCACCCUUUAAUGUUUGAUGUUCUAACGUUGACCCGUAAUCCGGGUUGCGGACAGUGUCUGGUGGGUAGUUUGACUGGGGCGGUCUCCUCCUAAAGAGUAACGGAGGAGCACGAAGGUUGGCUAAUCCUGGUCGGACAUCAGGAGGUUAGUGCAAUGGCAUAAGCCAGCUUGACUGCGAGCGUGACGGCGCGAGCAGGUGCGAAAGCAGGUCAUAGUGAUCCGGUGGUUCUGAAUGGAAGGGCCAUCGCUCAACGGAUAAAAGGUACUCCGGGGAUAACAGGCUGAUACCGCCCAAGAGUUCAUAUCGACGGCGGUGUUUGGCACCUCGAUGUCGGCUCAUCACAUCCUGGGGCUGAAGUAGGUCCCAAGGGUAUGGCUGUUCGCCAUUUAAAGUGGUACGCGAGCUGGGUUUAGAACGUCGUGAGACAGUUCGGUCCCUAUCUGCCGUGGGCGCUGGAGAACUGAGGGGGGCUGCUCCUAGUACGAGAGGACCGGAGUGGACGCAUCACUGGUGUUCGGGUUGUCAUGCCAAUGGCACUGCCCGGUAGCUAAAUGCGGAAGAGAUAAGUGCUGAAAGCAUCUAAGCACGAAACUUGCCCCGAGAUGAGUUCUCCCUGACUCCUUGAGAGUCCUGAAGGAACGUUGAAGACGACGACGUUGAUAGGCCGGGUGUGUAAGCGCAGCGAUGCGUUGAGCUAACCGGUACUAAUGAACCGUGAGGCUUAACCU
rnacentral:rRNA from 1 species